GACGAACGCUGGCGGCGUGCUUAACACAUGCAAGUCGAACGGAAAGGCCCUGCUUUUGUGGGGUGCUCGAGUGGCGAACGGGUGAGUAACACGUGAGUAACCUGCCCUUGACUUUGGGAUAACUUCAGGAAACUGGGGCUAAUAACGGAUAGGAGCUCCUGCUGAAUGGUGGGGGUUGGAAAGUUUCGGCGGUUGGGGAUGGACUCGCGGCUUAUCAGCUUGUUGGUGGGGUAGUGGCUUACCAAGGCUUUGACGGGUAGCCGGCCUGAGAGGGUGACCGGCCACAUUGGGACUGAGAUACGGCCCAGACUCCUACGGGAGGCAGCAGUGGGGAAUAUUGCACAAUGGGCGGAAGCCUGAUGCAGCAACGCCGCGUGCGGGAUGACGGCCUUCGGGUUGUAAACCGCUUUCGCCUGUGACGAAGCGUGAGUGACGGUAAUGGGUAAAGAAGCACCGGCUAACUACGUG
rnacentral:rRNA from 1 species